UGUUGAACACAAUAUUUUUAGCUUCAUCACAAGGCAAGCGGAAAUAUUUUAAAAUUCACAUAAAACAUUUGUAUUUUUUCGAUAUUUUAAAAUAUUAUUAUAAUGCAAUAAGAGUCACACGUGCAAUCUCUCCAAUGGAUCAGCUUUUCAUAAUAAAAUAUACAUAUAUACAAACCCAUCUGAAACAUUCCACAAAAUUAUAAUUCAUAUCUGCACAAAGAUGUGCCAAAAAAAUUCAUCAGCAGUUGCAAAUACUUAUGAGAAAGAUUGUAAGACCUUUCUGUACCAUGCAAAGAAAUAAGUAGCGCAAUUCUCAUCAAAGCAAACAUCAACAUAUAAUUUUUUUUUUUGGAAAUCUUUUUUAUAAAUUUUUAUACUUUUUUUUUCAUAUUUUCUUUGUGUGUGUGUUUUUUUGUUGUUUUUAAAUAUAUUAUAAAAUUUGAAAAUUUUAACCAUCAUAAGUACUUAACAGCAUAGAUACAUAUUUAGCUCUCUUUCUCUCUCUAUCUCUAUUUCUCUAUCUCUGUGAGUGUCUCUCGUAUUUAUUUCUUGUUUCUCUCUAAACUGAAGUACGUUGAAUGUGUUUCAUGAUCAAGUUCUUAAUAUUUUUAAACAUGACUUUAAAAAUACAAAAAAAAGAAUUAUUGUUGAAUUCAGUAGCUACUUAUUUUGUUGCAUUUAAAGUGUUAAACAAUUGAGUUAAAUUAGUUUGUGGAUGUGAAGAAUCCUACACUUCUAUUUCCAUAUCCAUCGAUCAUGCGCUUGUUGUUGUUGCUGUUGUCGAUCUAGUUGUUGGUGUUAUUUAUUUAUUUAGAAAUAGAUUUUUGUUUAAAGAUAUACACAAUGGAUGUUGUUCUUGGUAUUGUUUUUUAGAUUUGCAAAA